UACAGAGGGUGCAAGCGUUAAUCGGAAUUACUGGGCGUAAAGCGCGCGCAGGUGGUUUCUUAAGUCUGAUGUGAAAGCCCACGGCUCAACCGUGGAGGGUCAUUGGAAACUGGGAGACUUGAGUGCAGAAGAGGAAAGUGGAAUUCCAUGUGUAGCGGUGAAAUGCGUAGAGAUAUGGAGGAACACCAGUAGCGAAGGCGGCUAUCUGGCUGGUAACUGACGCUGAGGUGCGAGAGCGUGGGGAGCAAACGGG
rnacentral:rRNA from 1 species